CCGCUCGGCAGGAAUCCAUUGUGUUAAUGGUCUGAAAUUAGCACCCGCCAAAUGUGCAUAAAUUGUUGGCAGUGGCAGGUAAAAUUGUCAGGCUAUCCGCCACUUUGGCAGACGGGGAAAACACUGGGGAUAGGAAUAGAGAACCGGUUCC